GAUGAACGCUAGCGGCAGGCCUAACACAUGCAAGUCGAACGGUAAGUUAGAAGCUUGCUUUUAACACGAGUGGCGAACGGGUGCGUAACGCGUAUGCAAUCUACCCUUUUCUGGAGAAUAGCCCUUAGAAAUGAGGAUUAAUACUCCAUGGUACAACAAAUUCGCAUGUUUUUGUUGUUAAAGCUUCGGCGGAAAAGGAUGAGCAUGCGUCCCAUUAGUUUGUUGGUGAGGUAACGGCUCACCAAGACUGCGAUGGGUAGGGGGUCUGAGAGGAUUAUCCCCCACACUGGUACUGAGACACGGACCAGACUCCUACGGGAGGCAGCAGUGAGGAAUAUUGGUCAAUGGACGAAAGUCUGAACCAGCCAUGCCGCGUGCAGGAUGACGGCCCUACGGGUUGUAAACUGCUUUUAUAUAGGAAGAAACCCCUUUACGUGUAAAGGGUUGACGGUACUAUAAGAAUAAGGACCGGCUAACUCCG
rnacentral:rRNA from 1 species